GUUUCUUAUUAUUACAUUUUUUGG
rnacentral:snRNA from 1 species